CGUACGGGUGAGUAACACGUGGAUCAUCUACCUCUUAGUGGGGAAUAACUUUGGGAAACCGAAGCUAAUACCGCAUAAGCCUGGAAAGGGAAAGCCCCUGUUGAAAGAUGGGGGCGCUGAGAGAGGAGUCCGCGGCCGAUUAGCUAGUUGGCAGGGUAAAAGCCUACCAAGGCAUUGAUCGGUAGCCGGCCUGAGAGGGCACACGGCCACACUGGCACUGAAACACGGGCCAG
rnacentral:rRNA from 1 species